GAAAAGGAGGCCGUCAGGCACCUUUGACACCUUAGACUCUUCUGACUGCCUCCCUAGAGUGUGGGCGAGAUGGCUGGAUCUGUAGCAGCCACGUUGAAUCGCAGUAUCACCUUGACAAUGGAGGCCACCUGCGAGGAUCAGAGGGGACAGAAUCUAGGUUUCUGGUGAUAUUUUUGCUCAAAAGACUGUGACAGCACAUUCAAAGCCCACUUAGAGGAAGCGGGUUGGCAGAAGUCAGUCCCAGCCUGGUGACUCUCCUGCUAGCCACUCCCCGGAGUCGCCUCCAGACCCAGGGGUAACAACCAAAAUUGUCCCCGGACACUGCUCAAUGUCCCCCCAAGAGGCAAACGGCUCCCCGAGGAUCCCACAUACAACCUCUCCAGGUCAGCAGCCUAAAACCCCUGGGUGAGCGACUGACAGAGGGGAUUGACAGCCACAAAACACCCAUGAUGACGACAAGUGGCCCAGCCUGGCCCAGAGCCUCUUGGAGAUGACUCCAGCCCACAAGUAUGUUGCCAACCCCAUCAGCCCCAAGCCUGAAAUCCGCGUGCCACGGGGAGACAGUGCCCAGACCCCGGUGACAUCACAGAACAAAGGCCCGCACUUCUCCCCAAAGGGAACACCAGGCCUCAGGAGAGUGGUGUUUUCAGAUGGCAGCCGAAGCAGAUGUGACACGCUGUGGCUGCAGCUGGCACGGUGAGCUGGCAGCAGAGGCUCCGGGUUCCUGUGAGCUACAGUUUCUUCCCAAGGGAACCCAGUCCCCACACCCCUCACGUCCUGGGCUAACAGAAUACACAGCAUGAAGAUCAUGGACAAAAAGCACGGCUGUCACACAGGUCUCAGCCUGCGUAUAACACCCAGGGGUCACUGUAUGGGUGUGAACCUUGUUUCCUUUAGUUCCGGGGAUCCCGAUGAGAAACCUCAUGGAGUUUGUGCCCAGCCCCACUGGGAGCAUCUCAUUCACAACCCUGCUGACCACUGAGGAGACUCGCCCAGGUGUCCCCCACCCAGGGCAGAGCCGCCCUCCACAUGGCCAUGGCCUCCGCCCGAGUGCACAGUAAGGCUCUGUCUGUCGGUGUUUAUUUAUUUUGUACUGCUGGGGAUCCAGUUUAGGGUCUCACACACACUGAGCGAGUGCCGUACCACCGAGCCACAACCCCCAGCCCUUAAUUCAUUUUUUGACUUUAAGACAUGGUCUUAUUAAGUUGCCCAGACAGGCCAUGAACGUGUGAUCCUCCUGCCUCAGCUUCCUGAGUAGCUGGGAGGACAGGGGUGCACCACUGUGCCUGACGUGUGCUUUAAAAAUCAAAUAUUACUUCAUUAGCUGAAUCACUGACACACUAGUUGCAUAUUAAUUAUUUUAUAGGUGCACGAGACAUGCCAUGACCUAGCAUUCAAGGUAGAUACAAUGCUUGCCACAGAUCAUUUUGAAAGUAUCUAAUUUUAUUUUAGCAGCAGGAUUCUGUCUCAGUUCAAAUUCCUGCUCCACCCCUCACACCAGGCCACAGCGGAAGCAUGGACACAUCGUCAUUCCCGCCCCUCCCAUGAUCGGGGCCGGCUGGCGUGUACAGGGUACUACUGUGUGCCAGGCACGGUUCCAGGCUGGGUGUGUGUGACCCUGCUCGUGCAGCGGCCGCUGCGGCUGCUUCCACGUUAGAAGGAAGGACAGGGAGGCACGGCCAAGGUGCCACUGCAGAAGCCCUGGGCCCGGAGCCCACCCGCCUCCUCGGGUUUGUGAGGGUUGCAGGUGAGGCGGUGAGGCACAGCCCUCCACACAUGGCAGUGGCUCAGCAGACAUCGCUAUACACAGAGCAAUACACAGGAGACCCAAAUUCAGCAUUAGAAUGAGGUGCUGACCGCCCCUUGCAUAGAGGGGAAUUCAGCUCUGGCCUGGGCAGUGUCGAGAUGUCAUUACCUCACCCAGUUCGUGCUCCAUCACCCUUGACACACAGCUCAUGCUUAAGGACAAACCAGGGUCUGAGAUGGCUGCCAGGGCUCCGGCUAUCAUGUUAGCAUUCCAGGCAGGAAAAAGGAGGCAAAAGAAUGGCGGGCCAAAAAGGCUCCGUUUCCAGUAAGUGAGCAAAGUUGUUGUACAGUCGUUGUAAAGAGCCUCCUCUACUUUUUAUCUCACUGGCCAGUUCUAAACAAGGCGGGAGUUGUUGGGUCUUUAGAUCAGAUACAAGGCCACAGUAAAUGAAACUGGGGCUCUGCCCCAAGGAGGAUAUGGAGCAGGAGUGUUUUGCCAGUUGGCCUUUGCUUAUUUAUACACCAACCCUACUAACUAAAAUCCCAUCUAUAAAUCUGGGGGCCCCUGACUCCACGAGGACCUUUCCAAAUGAUCUAGAAUCAACCCCAAGCUCCCGGGGCCAUGCCGGGCUGUGUGCAGGCAUUUGUGGCCCACCGUCUUAACUUCGGUUGUUAUUUUAACCCCUUGCUGCCUCAGUUUCCCCACUAAGAAAGCGCCUGAAGAUCAAGGUGGCAGGGCGGGGCGAGCACUUCCAGCGGGGUCACCUACGCCGCGGCUUUUACAACCUGCGGGAGAAAGCAGGAAAAUCUCACGUCUGGGGCUCAGAUUUCUCAAAAACUGCUCUGUUGGAUCUUUAAAGCGCCAGCGUCUUGGCUGCCGGUGGCUGGCGGGCGGCCACGCGAAUGUGGGGCGGAGGAGGAGGCCGCGGGGCGGCGCUUCCCACCCGCCUGGCGCUGGGCCCUCGGGGGCUACGGUCCCCGAGGAGCCGGGAACAGCGCGUCCCUCAUCCCUGUCCCUGCGAUCUGCAGCCACGGUGACUCAUGCGGGGAGCUGGGACCCGAGGUCCGGGUGUGCCGUCCCCGCCCCACUGCUCAGAGCCUCGGGCGCGCCCUAAUUCCAGCUUGGGAUCCUGGGGGUCCAGGGUGGCCUCUGCUCCACCCCGGGCCUGAAGGCCCUGCCCUGCCUUUCAUUCCAACUCAGCCACAACCUAAAGCUGUAACAUAGGAGAGCCAGUCACGUGAUCUCCGUAGGCCUCAGUUUCCCCCUCUAGCAUCUAGGGGCAUCCCUGUGUCUCCUCGAUUUGGUGCUGAUGAAGGAGGCAGUGCCUGGUGUGCUGGGCAGGAGUCUCUCUGACCACCAUCUCCUCACUGGGUCUCCGGUCCCUCGAGGUCUGGCCCUGAGUCUCUCUCGGGCCUCCUCCUGUACUGUCUGCCCACCACCUGCUUCAGCCACAUGGGCCCCUUUCCUGAGCCUCUACUCUUGAGCCCCUACCCCAGGGCCUUUGCAUGCGCUCACUCUGCCUGGAAGACCGUCUGUGGGGUUCCUGAUUCCUUCUCCUGUCCAUCUCCAGCUGGCUGCCACCUUCUCCCGGAGGCCUUCCCAGACAGCCUGUGCAAAGCUACAGCCUCUGCACCCUACACUGCCUUCUCCUUCUCCGCUUUAUAUUCCCCAUGCAGGGAGCACAGGGCAGUCCCUGGGGCCGCCUUGGUGGCCUGCCGUGGCCUCUGGGAACGGCUACAUCUCCUUCCCCUGCUGGGGCAUCCUCGGUUUCCAGCCCAGCUCCCAGCACUUGACAGCUUCACCGUUCGCCCCAGGAGUGACUGCGGGGUGGGGGACGGGAUGAGGCCUCUGUGGGCAGCUGGAGGGCGCCACCCACAGCCAGGGUCCCUGCAGCCUGUGGAGCCCGUGGUGCAGUCAGGAUAGCACCAGGGAGCAGGGAAAUCAAAGGACACAAGCCACCUGCCUGCUGCAGUCCCAGAAUGUCCUGGCCGAGGGGACAGUCACAGUGGGCUGUGCUGGAAAGGGCAGGAGGGCAGAGACAACCCUGGCUUGGCCACUUAACCAGCUACUUUGAGUGGUUUAAAUGGGAGUGAUCUGCCAUCCAUCCAUCCAUCCAUCCAUCCCCAUCUGCCAUUCAUCAGAACCCCUGACUCCCCGGAGUUUGGUCCUGUGGGAGGGCCCAAUGGACUGGUGUGUUCUGGAAACCAUGCCACCCUGUCCAUGACUUGGUGAAUUCCUGUUUCAUUUAUUGAGCACCGACUGUAUGCAGCCACUGUGCUGAGUCUUACAUAGGCAUUUUUGAUCCCAUUUUAUGAUCAAUGCAGCGUAAUUGCAGACAGGUUAUGACCCUGGGCCUAAAUUGAACAGUGAGUAGUUAAGAUUUAGGUUUUCUGGGCCCUCGGCUCCUCCUUCCAUGGCAGGACUUUUUCUUGUGGAUGUCUCCAAGGUCUACAUUUGAACCAAGUCGGGAGUGAGGGUUCUAAUAAAGCCUGGUCAGCUCCCCCACUGUUACCUUCAGAGUGAGGACUGUGGCGGACAGGAUUGUGUUGACUCCCGGAAUGCCUGGCCCUGCGUAGUUUCUGGUCAGCACAGCUACAGGAACCAAUGAGAAGGCGAAGGGAAGCAGUGGGUGUCCCGUUGCUGUGUGCUGGGCAGGUGGGCCGAGCACCGCGAGUGGACGCCCCGCAGCCGUACCUUGCUGAAAUGCCACCUCCCCUCCAGAGCCCGAGUGGGUCCCCACAGGUGCUGCUGGGGUGGUGUGAGGCUGGUGAGGUCCCGCAGCUGGCCCCGGGGGCUGCAGAUCCUCCCCAUCCUCCCCUGCCUCCUGCUCCUCCCUCUCUCCCAUGGCCACCUUGCUGAUUCAAGGAUGGAGCACCUGAGGCCAAGAAGCAGCCCCUUGGUUGUGGUCAGCUCCCUGUGUGGUCAGUCCCUCUGGGGGAUUCUCUCUCCCCAAACCCUGAUACAACCCUGCAGCCCGAUUCCCAUUUCCUUUAAUUUAAACAGAGACCCAUGCUCCAUCCAUUGUUCCACUGUUUUUUAAAUACCUCUGAGCACAGAACAACGGCCUGCUGUGUAACCAGCAUGGCUAACACUCUGCUUAAAGAUUUAAAAAAAAAAAAAACCCUCCAAGGACUGGGAAUGUGGCUCAGUGGCCGAGUUCUUGCCUUGCAUGCAUAAGGUCCUGGUUAGAUCUCCAGCAUCAGAAAAAAAAAAUAUAGAUAAAAUAAAAUAAGAUCCUUCCAAGACAAAGGGCGGGGCUGUCUGGAGACCAGGGGGAGGGAAUCCCAAACCACUUCGACCCAGCCAUUUCCCAAACCGCUUGGUGGUUUUCCCCCAGACCUGCCCCGGAGGCCCCGGACUUGGCUGUACCUUUGAGGCAAGCCGAUCUCUGAGCUGGCUGCUGGAGCAGGCGGUUGUCUAGUGGAAAAUCCUGGUGCCAGCUCGCGCCUGUGUCACAGUGCUGUGGCCAGGCUGGGCCAGGGUGCGGGGUACAGAGUACAAAGUGAUGUGUCUUGGUCAUACGAUGCCAGCAGAUACUGUUUGAUAUUCAUAAACUUUUCCAGACUCGGGGAGCAGAUGAGCGACCCACCAGUAGUACAUUCCUGAGUGUGUGCACACACGUGUGUAUACAUUUACACAAACAACAUGGCUGAAUAGAGAAUAACACCAAAGGCAAAAGAGCACUAAGCUUUUAUAAUUGAGCUUCAAGUGGCCACAAGGAGAUGAGAAUAAUUAACGUCUCCAUUAACACAAAGGGAGAAACAGCAGUUGUGCGAUCUGUCCAGGGGAAGAAAGCUUGGUGGAACCGUUUUUCCGCGGGGUCAGCAAACCCGGCCCACGGCUGGCUGCUGCUGUGAAUAAGGUUUGAGGUUGUACACGCGGCCCUUCUCGGGGUCACCUGCUUGCAUCCUACUAUCGUAGUGGAUUUAUUUUUUGGAACAGAAACCAUAAGGCCCACAAAACCUGAACCAUUUAUUACGUGGCCCUUCCGUAAAGACAGGGCUGGGGCUCAGUGGCAGGGGCUCCCCAGACUCUGCCAGGCCCUGGAUUCCCAGCCCGUCAGGAAACCAGAUCAAACCAAGCCAAAACAAGACAGAAAUCACUGCGCUCAGUUAAGUGCAGAACAAAAGGAGGGGUUGGGGGUGGAGCUCAGGGGUGGCGUGUUCACCUGGCCGGUACAAGGCCCUGGAUUGCACCCCAGCAGUGCCAAAGACCGAAAAAUAAAAAUAAAAAAUUAAUACAGGACCACC